rnacentral:lncRNA from 11 species
CCGGGAAGUGGCCAACGAGGAGCGGGCCAUGUUCCUGAUCAGCGCCUCUUUGAAGGGGCCUAGAGAUGUACGAGAUACACACCGGCUCCAAGGAGGACAGGAACUUCUGGAUGGCGCAGAUUCCGCCAGGCGGUGGAGAGCUGCCCCGACGAAGAGGAAGGCGUCCUCGCCGACCUGGAGGAGGAACGCAAGGAGGCCGAAGCCAGGGCCGCGAAGCUGAAAGACUUCCAACAGCGCCUGAGCGCGAAAGACGAGCAGAUUGUGCAGAGCCUGAACGAGAAGCAGCAGAUCUACUUGGAGAUGGCCGAGACGUACGGCUUCGAGGACCCGGGCCUCUUGCGCCCCCCUCUCCUUGUCCCGAAGGCCGAGUCCCCGGAGGACCUCCACGGGGAAGCCAUCCUCAAGCAGGCCGUGGAGCAAGGUAUUUCCUCCUGACAUUUCUCUUGCGACGUUGCCCUUAGCAAGGUGCUAUCCGGCUUUCAGCCGCUUGAGGUUUGUUGGCCAAUAUACAUUCCUUGUGUGUUGUCAAAGGCUUUCGUGGCCAGAAUCACUGGGUUGCUGUGAGUUUUUCGGGCUGUGUACCCAUGUUUCAGUAGGAUUCUCUCCUGACAUUUCGCCUGCAUCUGUGGAAAGUGGAAAUGAGGCAAGUGUAGUGUAAAUAUUAGACAUGUCCGAUCGAUGGAAAAAGUGUUUCAAUUCUCGUUUCUAAAGUAGGGGAUGCUGGCGCUUCGAUAUAGAAAGUAUUUCCGAUUUUUUUCACCCAAAAGUUUCGAAUAUUUCCGAAAAUUCGUAAUGAUUCUAAAUGUUUCUAAAAUGGCGGAUGCACAUGCGCAAUCGUCAAAAAGAAAAGGAACCGGUGGGGGGGGACUUUUACAGGGCUCUCCCGCCCUCAUUUCUUGAGCUAUCCUCAUCAAAUUUGCAAAUAAGCUCCCAUUCAAGGUAGGUUGCAGAAACAAAAUAAUUUUUAAAAUAUUUUUUAAAAUAUAUUAAAAAAAAAUUUGGGGGGGGGGAAAUUAAUGAAGCAUUAAGAGACAAUUAGAGAAUGGGCCAAUGAUGGUUCGAAUUACAUAGCGUUGGUUGCGCUGUGAGACAAUGUCUCGGAAUGCGUAUCAAAAAGCGAGAACAAUCCGAAAUAAUUCCGAUAUACGAUUCAAAACGAUUUUUUGGACAUGUCUAGUAAAUAUAUCUGUGGAACAGUGGUCAUGUGAACAUCUUAUUUUCCACGACACAGUUCAUCAUUGUCUCGGGUCAACGUGUUGUUUCCCAGCACAAAGUUAAUCAUUAUUUUUGGUCAUGUAAACAUGUUGUUUUCCACCAAGAGUUAAUCGUUUAUCUCUGGUCAUCGGCAGUUCAGCACCUUUUAAUUAUAGCUUAGGAUUUAUUUAUUUUUUUGAGUUUCCCAGGCCUCAUUUCUUAGGAUGGAAUCUCUAGCCUCGAUAGGUCCCAACCAUCCAUCGUUCAUUCCAUUUCGUUCAGUUGGUCACGGGAUCUCCUGUCAUUCCAGUGGAGAGCCUGCAGAGCUGGAUCGUGGCCCAGUUUGGGAGCGGAGCCGACCCCCGUCCCGAAGAGCCCAGCGGGGCCGGAGCCUUGAGGCGCGCAGAGACCUUUGGGGGCUACGACAGCGCCAUGGCGGGAACCCCGGCCAAAGGUACGUUCUAUAAUCUAUAUAUCUAUAUAUAUAAAAGGGUAAUGGAAUCGCGGCACCGGACAAAACGACUAAACUAAACGCCCCACAACCUUGAAAAUUGACAGCACAACCUCUCAUCCACGCCUCUACGUACCUCUAGGUCCCAAUAGGU